rfam:Ovis aries breed Texel chromosome 1, whole genome shotgun sequence.
UCCUUGGUAGCUCAGUUGGUAAAGAAUCUGCCUGCAAUGCAGAAGACCCAGGUUUGAUGCCUGGAUUGGGGA